rnacentral:lncRNA from 10 species
AUUGUUCACAAUAGCAACGACUUGGAAACAACCCAAAUGCCCAUCAGUGAUAGACUGGAUAAAGAAAAUGUGGCACAUAUACACCAUGGAAUAAUAUGCAGCCAUAAAAAAGGAUGAGUUCAUGUCCUUUGCAGGGGCAUUCGCUUUUUAUUGCUGCCAUAACCAAUUACCAUAUGUUUAGGGACUUAACACAAAGUUAUUAUCUUACGGUUCUGGAGGUCAGAAGUCAAAAAUAGAUCUUACUGGCUAAAAUCAAAGUGUCGACAGGGCUGCAUUUCUUUCUGGAUGUUCUAGGGGAGAUCUACUUCCUUGCCUUCUCCCGCUUCUAGAGGCUGUCUUCAUUCCUUAGCCCGCAGCCCCCUUGCUUCACCUUCCGAGCCAGUUCUGAGUCUUGUGGCUCCUCCCUCUGGGAUCUUGGCUCUACUCUCUGCAUUCAAGCCUGCCCCUCUGGGCUUCAAGCUCCAUCUUCUCAGAGAUCUUUAGUUUUCCAUAAAAGAGAGCACCUGCUUAUAGCUGAGUCAUUUUAUCAGCUUGUUUCCAGCCAGUAGAAUUUUGAAGGCCAACUGUCUUAGGUAGUACUCUAUUUCAGUACAAGCUUGUGAUGUUUUUGCUGAUACAAAGUUCUCAAUAACUUUUUGGGUUUUCUGCAUCAUGACAGUUCACACACA